rnacentral:lncRNA from 1 species
CAGGCCCACAGGGAAUAUAACAAAACGGGAGGAAUUUACCAACACUGGGGGAUACACACAAAAAUCCUCUCACUGAUCACAAAAAAAAAAAAGAGAACAGCAACACAUACAGGAGAGACCAUUACCCCCAUUUUUUCCUUUCAUUCGACAUCAAGACACGCUAUUUUGGGGAAAAAACAGAAAAGAAACUCCAAUUUUUUCUCUGCUUUUCCUUCUUCUAGACGCAUACGCACACGGAGGAGAGCUCACCAUCAACAUACAGACCCACUUCACCAUUUUGCACAUACUCUGAAAUCACACAUAAACACACACACAGAGCACGCAAAAGAAGCACACAUGCACAUCAGAUCGAAGGACAGAAAGAGAGAGUCGAGAGAAAGAGGGCAUCGAGAGGGAGAACAGAAACACCCCAUCGCACAUACUCCCUCACUGUCACUGGAAAAAAAAUCAAAGUCGACUCCAACUAAUUCCGUUCCGAUGGUGUCCACCGUAAAAUAAGCGAAACGGUGAUUUCAAACACAAUUCUGAUUUGGAGUGUUUGAGUUCUCUCGGGGAUUUAGUCAUUGUGGGAUGGGUGGUUGAUCUUUUAGGUUUUGAUAUCGAGUAGGUUGCGUUGGCUGCGGAAGUUCGAUUCGAGUUUUCGGCAUGGACUCCAUCUCGUUUAAUUGAAUAAUAAUUGAUUGAAAGCGGCAUUGAGGUCCAAUUCUUUCUUCUUCUCCUUUUUAAUCGAUUGUCAAUGUUAUUCGAUAUCAUUAUUCUAUUGUGAUUUAUUUGUUGAUGUUUGGUAUUGUUUGCGUUUGAAUAAUUGAUCCCAUGGUAUUAAUGUGAUGACAAUAUGAAUUUGGGUUUGUAUUAAAAAUGAAAUUCCGGUUGGGAAUUGAAAAAUCGUUGGUGAAUGUUGAUUAUUUUUGUUAAUUGUUGAACACAAUAGUGUUAUGUGUUAGGCCGUUAAAUAAUUAGGCAAACGGUAGGCCGGGGUUGGCAAAUUUAGAACUUGUGUUUUCGUUGAAUGUUGGAAUAUGCGUGUGAAUGUUUCUUUCUAGUUUAUCGUAUUUAAUUCAAAUGUAUCCAUUUAGCUGGGGAAUACCCCGAGACAUAUUUUAUUUAUUCACUGAGGAAUGCCCCGACGUAUUAUGUUGGCGGAGGACGUUCGUGAUGAAGGCCCGAGGCAUCGGGUAAAACAUUGGAGCAUAGUUUAGGAUUAGUCUAGAAUAGGAUUUUAUAUUUUUCGCAUUUUUCUAUUUUUGACUGAAUAAUUGGACUGAAUAUUUUUUUUUUUGAAUUUUGUUUGAUUUGUUUGUUUGCUUGUUUUGUAUGUUUAUGUGGUUUAUACAUUUUAUAAUGUCAAAUUAGUCGAUACGUUCCACCAAGAGACCAUGGUCGAACCACAGGAUCGGGGGGUGCCUAACACCUUCCCCUCAGUCAACAGAAUUCUUUAGCCGGAAUCUCUGUUCACAAACCAGUUUCAAAGAGUCAAACAGUUUUGAAAAGGAUUUUACAAAGGUGACUUGGCACACCGGAUUAUGCCAAGUGGCGACUCUGAAUAAAAAAAUUGUAAAUACUCCUUUUUCGAAACAACCUAUUUUUUGUCACUUGAAUAAUAAAAAUCCUUUCGAACCUUAAAUAAUAUCUUUUGGGUAAAAAAGGAUGUGACAUAUUGCACUAAUUGUAGAAAUAAUUAUUAAUUUUGCUCUUUUGAUGAAAUGGAAGAUGACCCAUUUCGCGUUUGUGUUGAAAUAAUUGUUAAUUUUAUUAUUUUGAUGGAAUUGAAGAUGACCCAUUUGGUGUUUGUUGAAAUAAUGGUUAAUUGAGUUAUUUGUUAUGAAAUUACAGAUGAUUCAUUCGGUGUGUGUGCGGAGUAACUAUGGUGUUGUUUUGUUGAAGAGAAGGAAAGAAAGAAAGAAGAGAGAAUACAAAGAAGCAG